rnacentral:rRNA from 1 species
GAUGAACGCUGGCGGCGUGCCUAAUACAUGCAAGUCGAGCGAACGGACGAGAAGCUUGCUUCUCUGAUGUUAGCGGCGGACGGGUGAGUAACACGUGGAUAACCUACCUAUAAGACUGGGAUAACUUCGGGAAACCGGAGCUAAUACCGGAUAAUAUUUUGAACCGCAUGGUUCAAAAGUGAAAGACGGUCUUGCUGUCACUUAUAGAUGGAUCCGCGCUGCAUUAGCUAGUUGGUAAGGUAACGGCUUACCAAGGCAACGAUGCAUAGCCGACCUGAGAGGGUGAUCGGCCACACUGGAACUGAGACACGGUCCAGACUCCUACGGGAGGCAGCAGUAGGGAAUCUUCCGCAAUGGGCGAUAGCCUGACGGAGCAACGCCGCGUGAGUGAUGAAGGUCUUCGGAUCGUAAAACUCUGUUAUUAGGGAAGAACAUAUGUGUAAGUAACUGUGCACAUCUUGACGGUACCUAAUCAGAAAGCCACGGCUAACUACGU